UCUUUGCCCCGGUGAUGAAGAGUUGUGCAU
rnacentral:piRNA from 1 species